rnacentral:lncRNA from 1 species
CGCUAACCGCGCACGGAGCGGGCUCCCGCGCUCGUCCGCCUGCGGGGCUGCUCUAACGCCCGGGUUUUGUUUACGAGAGCAGCUGGGGGGAUACGCCGGGCGCGGGGAGCAGGGAACCGGGACCUAGGGUCGAAGGGGUUGCGGCGGAGGCCCAGGGCUAGGACUAAGGGGAGGCUGCGAGGGCGGCUGACAGGUGUGGAACCGCGGGAGCGAGGCCCCGGGGAGGCGCGCGGCAGACACGGUCAAGCCAGUAGCUGGAGGGAACAAGGGGCCCCUGUGACAGGGGGUGGGUUUCCCCAGGGUCAGGGGAAUGAGGUAGAGGGGGAAAGCAGGCGCCACACACUCUCUUUCUGGACAAUCCCUGGGGCCAGGGCCUGAGCUCCCAUAUUUGAAAAGGUUCUCAAAUCUCCCUUGGCAACGGAGUCCCAGGCUUUCAAACCUAGCACUUAGAAAGUUCUGCUCACUAUCUAACCCUAAUGAUCACGACUAACAUUUAUUGAGCACGUAUUGCGUGCUGGGCGCUGUUCUAAAUGCACCAUGUGGAUUAAGACUCAUUUAAUAUAACAACCGUAUUAAUUAGUGACUGUUAUUGUUCCUACUUAGCAAUGGAGGCGAAUGAUCAUGGAGAGAUUAUGGAACUUGCCAGGCUCCUACUGCUAGUGAACAUCAGAAUCGAGAUUUGAAUCCUUAUCUAGUUCCAGAUCCUCUAACACAAGCCUUGCUAGUCAAGUGCCACCUGUGGCCAAUACAAUAACCCUCCGACAUCAUUCUUUGCGGUGAGACUGGAAAGUUCCUCAAAUCAAAUGCAACAACGGAUGUCAUCCUACCCAGCCAACCGUCUAAUUUUAGAGCCAGUUACUCUUGUGUCCCUAGAGGCUCUCCCUCUGACCCUGAAGUCUGGCCACCUCACCCAGGGAGCGACUAUCAGCUGCGUUGCCCCCAAGCCACCAGCAAUUUAUGGAAAACAGCAAAUCAUUGUGCACAGGGAAGUAGGUUCAUGAUUUCUCAGAGGUCUUCCCAGAGGGUGCCCAAAUACCCCCCAGCAUCCUGAGGCAGCUGCCCUUACAGUCCGGCAGGUGGGGAAAGGGUUAGGAAUUCUGUGGGUCCUCAGGACACCAUCCGUGUUCCUUCCCAGGCUUUUCCCGCGGUCAGGGGCUCCAGGGAGAGCAACUGAUUUUUGUUGCCUUUUCUUCCUGCCCUCCAAGUCCCUGAGCUCUUCAAGGACUCUUUGAGAGGGAGGGAGAGGUCAGGAAGGGGAAAGGUUUCCUCAGAGGCCGAGUCUUGCGCAAGGAGGAGCUGUUGAAGGUUUGCAUUUCUAGGACAAUACCUCAAGUUCUCUCCACUGCUAGUGGGCAAGAUGCUUGGGUUUUUGCCCUAGAGGCCCGUUGAGGGCUUAUAUUAGGGCUGGGGGUGUUGCUCAGUGGUAGAGCACUUUCCCAGCGUGCAUCAGUCCGCCCAUUCAAUCCCCAGCACCCCACCCCCCAAAAGGAAAAGAUCACUUCAUCAGUGGCUCUCAAAUGCUGAAUUUAGAGUGGUCGUCUUUCCGCUCAUGAGCCUCUCCUUUGAGUUAGUGAUCUAAGGUCAUGCUGUUGGGGAUGGUGGUUGGAGUGCUGGUGGAGGAAGAAGGUUCCCAGGUUAAUCCCAGGAGAUCUUAGGCAAGGCAAACCAGAUGGUUUACCUGCUCCAAAACAAUCAGGCCGUACUCCCCCAUUCCCCACCUGCCUGGGAUGUCUGAAGAAUUUUUGCACUGCUGAAAACACAAAAGUGGAUCUAGAAAACCUCUGCCUCAGCUCACAGACCCCUGAGCAGCUUAGUAGGGGAUUUGUGUGCUGGUCUUUUGACAGUUGUCCCUGUGAGUGAUGAACACAAUCGGUUUUCCUGUCUUCAUGGAUGGGCUGUGGCAGUGUUGUUAUGUGCUGAGAAGCAGCGUUCAGUUCCAUUCUGGAGAUAGUUUUACUUCACUGGUAACCAAGUCAUUUCUCUAAGUCCCAUGGAGUUGGUACAAUCAGUCGCAGACCAUCUCGGGAGCUAUUUGGAUUAGACAUACGCUAUGGUGCGGCAUUUUGAUCACUACUCAAUUCAUUGCUGCCUCAUUUUGAAAAAGAAACAACAUCUUAAAAAUACUACCAGCAAGAAGUAAAAAUGGCUUUGAUGGCUACAGUUUCUCCUCAUUCUAAGAGACCAUAAGCCCCACUCUUGCAAGCAGCCUUCUUUUUCCUUCCGUUUAAUUGUAUGCAGACUCCUACAGUGAAAGAAAAUCAGAAUCCGUGCUUACUUUUUGGCAUGAAAAAUGUAGGCGACUAGGAAGCCUGGAAAUGCAUUCUUUGCUGAUUCUUCCUCAUUUUGCACAAACACGGUUGCCCCUUCCCAAUUUUCUUGUGUACUAAAGCUCCACCUUCAGGACACAAGUUCACAUUUGAAAAGUGUGGGAAAUCUGAUCGACUGAAAUAAAUAUUUAGGCAUGUGCGUUCUAUAUCUCUUUGAUCACUUUCCCUUGGACACUGCCAUCUGGCCCAAGGGUGCAUGUCCCAUCAGUGAUGAAGCUUCCCUCUUCAACUGGCUGAGCUCGUCUUGUUGGGUGUCACAUCACAUCUCAGAACUCCUUGUAACACAACUGGCUGAAACCCAAACAAAAGAAGAUGGUACAGAUUUAUCCUCCAGACAGAGGCCUGCUACCACGGAAACAGGCCGUGCAGACUGAUUCGAGCAGUUUUAUUUGCAGCGUUCACUAGAUAGGCAAGUCUUCAUAAUGAGAAAAUAUCAACUCCCCCAGGCACCAAAGGCAAUCUAGGUUAACCAGGCCAUCCACAAUCACACUCAUUUCUGCUGGACAGGACUUUAUAGAUUCAGUGGUUUCCUGCUGAGACUCGAGACAUUAAGAACUAUUCUGGAAGCAAUUGGUCACAAUCACAAGAUGGUUAUCAUUGGUGGUUCACUUUUCUGUUGGACUUUUUUUUUUUUUUUUAAAUCUGGCCAUAGUCCUUAGGGCUGAUUGGGCUGGCAAAGAUUAAAACAAACAAACAAAACGAAGAGUUUAGUUCUGAUGGUCAACAAAUUCUGUCUAUACCUUGUCUAUGUAGGUGCCACCACCCCCCCCCCCCCCCCCCCGCCCCGCCCUGCCAGAGUUUGGGAAAUACUACCCAAUGGGUUGAAGUGUAUCCAUGUCAUCCUAGGAUUUAAGACAGGCCUCUCCCCUCCUCAGCUUUGCUCAUAUCUAUGUGGCUUUCCACAUUCAGGACCUUAUCAAAGCUGAUGAACCCCUUUUGGUGACUAG